rnacentral:lncRNA from 1 species
GCCAACUAGCUCUGUUUCUCCUGUAAGGCGCCGACUAGUGCGGACGUGGAAAGAUCGGCUCCCGCUUUCUUGGCCGAAAACUCCCGAAAGGCUCGG